AAACCAGUAAAUAAAUCAUGAAGUUACACACUAGUCUGCUUUCGCACUCAUUCGGAACUAUCAAUGAUACUUACUGCAGGUAUGGUGUAUAAAUUAUACUAAAGUAAAGGCUGGAUCAAUAAGAAAUUCAAAAUGUUUCAUCACAUUUGGGGCUUGACGAUGCCAAAGAAAGACCAUACCAAUUAUCACGAUUGGUAAAAUGUGAACAAGAACAAGCAUACAUUCAAGAAAGCAGAGAAGCAUCAUUAAAAUAAAGCAUUCUUCUCACUAUUCUAUAUUGUUGGAAAAUGGACCAAAAUAAAAAAGAAACCAUAUAUGGAACGUCACAACAAGAAUAUUUGUGCAUUUGGAGAUCAUAGGAUAUUGGGAAGACAUCGGCAGAAAAGUACAAUUUUUUUUUCGUUGGGGGGGGGGGGGGGGAAGGAACAGAGAAGUGCAAGUCAAAAAGGAGAAAAAAUGAAAACAGAGAGAUGAAAAGGAAUGCAAUCUAAUUAAUCGUCUAAGGAGGCUACUAUGCUACAUUUAGCCAUUUGGUUGAAUAAGCAGCUUGUCUUCUAGUACAACUUUAAAUUUACCAAGAUUGAGAAUUUUCCUUCUGAAGAAAAGUAAUUUCUAUAGCGGCUAUUACCAUCUUCAUCCCAACGGUAAGCAGCUCCAUACUAAGGAAAGAGUGAAAUAGGUGUGCUUUACUUAUAGAAGCCCGUUCCUGUCCAGAGUGAUUAGUAAGUUGUUUCACCACGACCCCCAUUAUGGUGACUUAAAAAAGAAAAAAUAUAUAUAUAUAUUUGCCCAACACAGAAGUAGCACCCAAGAAGUCCUACUUAAGAGGCUUCAUACCCUGCACAAAUCGGAAAGGUUUUUAAAAUUUUCAUGUUCCAAAUGAAGAUUGCCCAUUAAAAAAUUACACACAUAAUGUAUGUAAACCAAUUAAAACAGAAAAACAAGGAUAACCCAGAAACAAUCCAACCAUCAAUAACAUAAAACUUUUUGUAAAUCUGGUAAAGUGAAUGAGAAGCAGAACAUACAUUUCACUUAAUAAUGAAAGAUACAUCUUUUAAUCAGUUUUUGCUCUCGCUUUAUUCUUGUGCUUCCUUCCAAUAACAAUUCAUAAUGCAGGUAGGUAUCUUAAAAAAUUAUAUCAUACAUUUCUCUUAUCAAAAGAAAUACAGUUGAUUAAUUGAACUGUAUUUCUAAAAAAAUUAUAUCAUACAAACAUGUCGUUUAUUAAUUGAAUUGUGGUCAUUAAUACACGCACACACAUGUAUGCUUAUGGUACAGUCACACCGAAUCUGUUAUAGACUAAUUAAAUACAAUAUGUUUUUACCAAAGUUGGUUAGUGUGAGUGGUUCGGUACUCUUACUCCUUAAGAGAGGUCAGGGGUUCAAGCCCCGCUCUCGUAUGGAAUCACCACUUUGGCCAGCACUUUACCCUUUACGGGCCAACCCGGUGAGAGCGGGGAUUAGUCUGGGUUGUGGUACGGACUUAAAGGUGCCUCCCACAGUUGGGGCACACUCAGAACCACCUUGUGGUUCAGACCAAAAAAAGUACAAUAUGUUUCUUUUACUAGCUAUAUGAUUGGAUCUUCAUUAAUGACCGAAGAAGAAAUUAUAACAACCCAUGCAAGUAUUAGUACUUCUCCUAAAGCUAAUAUUAAUGAAACAAAACAACUUCAAAUAUUUCCCAAUAAGCCACUAGAUCAGGAUCAAGUCCACAAUUCAAUAUUCCACAUGAUUUUUCCAUUUCAUCUGCAAUUACUAGAUUAAAAGGUAAUAAAAUUAAUUACUUAUCAUGCAUUCUAAAUCAUCCUUAAAUUUAAUAUGUUGGGUUCCAGCUGUAGGCAAAACUUUGGAUAAGUACAGAAAAAAAAUUAAAAAUGAGUAAAAAUGAAAAAGGAAGAAAAUAUCGAUCAAACCUCUUGUUCAAACGGAGGGGCGGCUAGUUUUUCCUUAAUACAAGUACAAAUUAUAUCAUACAUUUGUAAAACAAUUAUAUCGGUCUUAAUUCAUAAUGCAGGUAGGUAUUCUAUGAUCCAUCUAAUCUUUCUACACUUUUUUUUUGGUACUAGAAAAGCGAUAUUUAUAACGUAUCUCAAAAGAAAUACGGUCAAUUCUUACUGUUUUAGGAUAUAGUAUUUAAUUUGCAUUCAAACAUUUUCUCAUUUCAGCAAAGAUCCUAAAAAUUUAUUUUUUUAAUUCAAAUAUAAAUAUUAAAAAAAUCAGAUAUAAGUAUAAAAAAUAAUUUUUUUUUAAAAAAAGUUUUCAUAUGUUUAACAAUCAACGCUAAGGAACAUGAAAAGGAGCUAUUAAAACCCCGAAAAAAGAAUAAUUUUGAAACUAAAUACAAUUAAUUGAGAGAUGAGGACCAUAAGAUAAAUUGGGGAUAAAAACUAAAAUAUCAGCCCCUCGUUGCUGAUAGUUAUGAGUAUGAAAGCACAGAAGCCGUGUCUUGAUAAGUAUGGAGUUCGUGCGGAAUUUUCAGCUAGAAGUCUACAAAGCAGUGGAAUUAAUCAAUCAUCGUGGAGUGCACGGUGGUUGGACCAUGAGAUGAAAUUGAAAAGUUAUCACGGAACUUGAAGGAAGGUUCAUGGCAUCGAUUUAUUCUACAGAGUCACGCACAUUUGGUUCAAUAAUUGUUUUCAUCCGAAUCAAAAUCUCUCUCUAAUCAAUUCAACUGUUUCUGUUGAUUAUGGCUUCUUCUUCUCGAAACAACAAGAAGUAUGAUGUUUUUGUUAGUUUCAGAGGAGAGGACACCCGGGACAACUUUACUAGCCAUCUCUAUUCUGCUCUGUGUCGACAAAAUAUCCAAACUUUCAUUGAUGACCAACUUAACAGAGGAGAUGAAAUUUCGGAGUCACUUGCGAAUGCAAUUGAAGCAUCAGCCGUUUCAGUUAUCGUCUUCUCAGAGGGGUAUGCAUCUUCCAGAUGGUGUCUCGAUGAACUUGUAAAGAUCCUCGACUGCAAGAAGGAGUAUGCACAGCUUGUGAUUCCGGUUUUCUAUCGGGUUGAUCCAUCAGACGUGAGAAACCAAACUGGGAGUUUUGGAGAUUCAUUUUCGAAGCUUGAAGAAAGAUUAAAGGAGAAUACUGAGAAGCUGCGGAGUUGGAGGAAAGCUUUGAAGGAAGCAGCCAGUUUGUCUGGCUUUCAUUCUCUUAACAUCAGGUGAAAAGUUACUUUUAAUUUCGCAUACUAAUAUUCAACACUGUAAAUAAAAUUCACGCAGCACUCUUAGUUAAAUUUCCAGAUGCUAAACUACACUUUUAAAUUUUUUCAUGCGUCAAAUUCUAGACUUCUUGAACUUCCCCACUUUUGAACUAUAAAAGAAUUUUUGCAGAAUUGAUAAUACAAAAGCUCCAGAAGUUUACAAUAUAUUUUAACAAAAUUAAUGGUGUUCUGUCGUUUUUUAAUCAAUUUCAAUCUCUUACUCAUAUACCAAUAGGAAAAAAAAAAUCUCUUCCACAUAUAACAUAUUCCUGUAAUUAAAGAGUUAUUAAUUUAUAGGGAGAUUGUAAAUUCCCUUACUCAAAUUAAUAUAUGAGUAUUGAUAUAGCCACAAAUUCUUGUACAAAAUCAUUUUGCACAAACUGAUGUGGUGUUAAUUCAUUGGUUGAAUUAAAUAUCUCUUGGCCCACAUGAUUUAUUUCUAUUAUUUUAUAUUUUCAUUCAACCAAUGAAUUAAUGACACAUCAGUUUGUAUAAAAUAAGUUUGUACAAGAGUUUGUGGUUGUAUCAUCACUCUUAAUAUAUACCACUUAUUCUGACUAUUUUUACAAUAUUUAAUAACUCUCCUGGUACCAUCACUUUGCAAUAUUAUCCUUCUGAAAAAAAAAUAAGUGGUAUAUAUUAAUUUCAAUUGGAAAACUAGCAAUCUCCCUUAUUUCAUAUUUGAUGCAAAUCCCUCCUAUUUGAAGCUACUGCUGCUAAUUUUAUGUAUUUGGCAGGCCUGAAUCAGAACUUAUAAACGAAGUUGUUAAUCACAUUUUGAAGAGACUGAUGGAAGAAGUGUUUCGGCCGCGUGAUAACAAAAGCCAGCUGGUUGGAGUAGAAUCAAGAGUUGAGGAAAUUGAAUCUCUACUAAGUGUUGAGUCGAAAGAUGUUUACGCUUUAGGGAUUUGGGGCAUUGGUGGUAUAGGCAAAACAACAAUCGCUAGAGCUACUUUCGACAAAAUCUCUAGCCAUUUUGAAGGUUCUUGCUUCCUUGAAAAUGUUAGAGAAGAGUCACAAAAACCGGGAGGAUUAGCUUGCUUGCGACAAAAACUUCUUUCAAAUUUAUUGAAAGAUAAAAAUGUGAGUCUUGAUAUUGGUCUCAAUUUUAGGAGGCUCAGCCGCAUGAAGGUUCUGAUUGUUUUUGAUGAUGUGACUUGCUUCAGCCAAUUAGAAUCUAUAAUUGGAAGUCUUGAUUGGUUGACGCCUGUGAGUCGAAUCAUAAUAACCACCAGAAAUAAACAAGUGCUUAGAAAUUGGGGGGUGAGUAAAAUAUAUGAGAUGGAGGCAUUAGAAUAUCAUCACGCUCUUGAGCUUUUCAGUCGACAUGCCUUCAAACAAAACCAUCCUGACGUUGGUUACGAGGAAUUUUCAAGCAAGGUAAUGAAAUAUGCUCAAGGUGUUCCUUUAGCUAUUAAAGUUUUGGGUUGCUUUCUAUAUGAAAGAGAAAAGGAAGUCUGGGAAAGUGCAAUAAAUAAAUUGCAAAGAAUCCUCCAUCCAAGUAUCCUAGAGGUAUUAAAAAUAAGUUACGAUAGUUUGGACGAUAAGGAGAAAAAUAUUUUCCUUGAUGUUGCUUGUUUCUUUCAAGGCGAGGAUGUAAAUCUAGUAAUGAAAUUCCAUAAUGCAAGCGGUUUCUACCCAGAAAUAGGAAUAAGCGUUCUUGUUGAUAAAUCUCUCAUUGCUAUUGGUUCAUACAACAAGAUAAGAAUGCAUGAUUUACUACAAGAGUUGGGUAGGGAAAUUGUUCGACAAGAAUCUAUUAAUCCUGGAAAUCGCAGUAGGUUGUGGCAUCAUGAGGAUAUCUAUGAAGUUCUUACAUAUAACACGGUAAGCAGUUUGUUGUGGAUAAUUAUUUUGAAAUAUUCUAGCAUUUACAAACUUGAUAUGAAUAUAUUUAUAUAUGCUCGAACUGAUGAGUCUUAGAAUUAAUAGAAGAGCAACAAUGAUUAGAAAAAACCAUAUCCGUUAGAUGACGUAGCAAUAAAUUAUAAAUGCCAUGACAACUUGCAUAAUCGUUUGCAAGCAUAAUUGAUAUGCAAUUUGUAUGGUACACAGACGGAAUUUUUAUAUUAAGUAUUACUUGUGUUAUUAUGUUUCUUUGUGCAUUUGCAAUUAAAAGUUUAACUGCCUAGCAAUAACUAAAAACAUGAAUUAUUGAUUUGAGAAAUGAUGAAGAGUCCACUCCAAUCCCACAUAAACUCGACUAAAUAAUAAAUAAAAAGUUGAAUUAUUAACUAAGCUACCUCUAAUUGUGAAUUAGUGAGAAACUUGCCCCAAAAAUUUGACUUGGUGGGGUUGAAGUGCGAUUCAUUGGUGGAAUACACAUAUCUUUCAUUUGAUUUUAACUUUAUUGCUUUUUCACUUAUUUUCAAGGGACAGAAAAAAUUGAGGGCAUAUGUUUGGAUAUGUCAAAAGUAAAAGAGCUCCGUCUAAAUCCCAAUACUUUCACAAAGAUGACUAAAUUGAGAUUUUUAAAGUUCUAUACUUCAUUAUUCAAUGGAGAGAACAAAUGUAAGAUGUCUUAUUUGCAAGACCCUGGAUUUGCUGAAGUGAAAUAUCUUCGCUGGCAUGGAUAUCCGUUGAAGUCAUUUCCCUCAAACCUCAGUGCAGAGAAGCUUAUGUUACUUGAAGUGCCUGAUAGUGACAUUGAACAACUUUGGGAUUGUGUGAAGGUAUGCAUAUCUUAUUAUAUAUGUGCAAUCUCUCAAUAACAACAUUAAAUUAUUAUACGUGGUAACGGUUUUGUCUUGGCCUCUUUUUUGACCGAGCAGCAUUAUAGUAAGUUAAACCAGAUAAUCCAUGCUGCCUGCCAUAAGCGAAUUGCCAAAAUUCCAAAUCCCACGUUGAUGCCACGUCUGAACAAGCUAGUUACGUUGAAUCUAAGAGGUAGCAAAAGCCUGAAAAGUCUUCCAUCUGGAAUAUUUAACUUGGAAUUUCUUACCAAACUUGAUCUUUCGGGCUGCUCAAAACUGAAAAGGCUUCCAGAGAUCUCAUCAGGUAAUAUAAGCUGGUUAUUUUUUAGGGGGACUGCAAUUGAAGAACUACCCUCAUCAAUUGAGCGUCUACUUAGGGAACAUUGCAUACCUGAGGCAGCAAUAACACUUCCAACAAAGUUACCUAUAAGCACAGUUGGCUUCUUAACAACUUCAUCCAAGAAAUCCAAUAUUAGCUGUAUCAGUGAAUCUCACUCAAGUUAGCAAGGAAAAUAACUAAAGGUCAAGCGAUUGAUGACAAAAGAUCCAACUUCUGGCUAGGGAACAUUGCAUACCUGAGCCCAUCCCUCCAUGGUAUAUGAAUAACCAGCUGGCUUAUCUGAAGCACCAAAUCCAAGAAGGUCAAUUGCAUAAACCGUGUAGCUCUUUGCCAGGGUGCCAAUAUUCCUGAAAUUACCUCAGAGAUGACAAGAAAAAUAUCAAUUCCUCACGUUAUUUAAUAGGAUAAAGGAAUGGUGCACAAGCAAAUUUUCAUUCCCCUUUUCAAUGGAGCAGUAAAAUGAAUACUUUUUCACUAGAUUAAGAAUCGGAAAAUGGAAGAAGCCUAUAUCCAUAAAAGGGUAAUAUGAAAUGGAACCCUGAAACUCAGGUCACCGGUUUCUCAUCAUCUAUGUGCAAGGAAUAGAACUAGGUGUUAAUGCCAAUGAACCAGGAAAUAACGAAGAGAUUUAACUUCAUUAUUCUUUUGCUUCAUUCAUCUUAAUUAAUUAUUAGAAGUAUAACACAUAUAAAUGCAUCCCUGAACUUCAUAAUACAUAACAGAGUCAGAGAUAUUACAUACAUAAGGGAAAGACAUGCUCCAUACCAAAAAAAAAUAUAGUCGAAAAUGCCCAGAACGUAAUUUGAAUUAACCCGCUACACAAUUCACAACAAGAAAGAGCAAUCUUAUCUCGCUAACCUGCGCCAGUGAGGAAUGGAGGCACCAAAGCCAUGGACAAGGAGUAGAGGAGGAGAAUUGGGAUGUGAAUUUGGACUUGAAGAAACCAAGUAAUUGAUGGAGUACUGACCCUUCCAUUUCCACAUUUUGCAACUCUCCCUUACCUCAUUAACCUCCAAUUCCAGUGCAGCAGAAGCAGAAUCCCCUCCACUGCUACUGUUAGUAUAACUGAUGGUAACAUUUUGUCUCUUCUUCUUCUCCUUAUUCCUCUGCUGGAACUGCAACUGAAACUGCCAACUCUUAUUGCUCAAUAGGGGCAAGCGCAGGCCUUUUACAUCUCCAUUUCCAUUUCCAAUCCUGAGUGUUGUUAUUGGAAUAAUGAAAGAGGGAGCCCGAGCCCUUACCAUCCACACGCUCAUUCUUUUCUUGCUUUUUCAAUUGAAUAUUUUCUGUGGCCUGGCUUGGCCUGCUCCUCCCCUGCUUCCACUAUUAUAUGAAAAUUUUACUGAUAUUCCUCAAAAAUCAAGAUGGUAAUACUUCGUCUGAAACGAAUAUCAGGUGCUUUACUAAAAUACUCCGGGUGAUUGGUAUUUCCGUCCAAUAAUUUUUGCAAACUCAUCCCAUUUUUUAAAAAAUAAUUAUAAAACAUACAUGCUAUGCUUAAAAAUUUUCAAACAAAGAAGAACUUUGUAGAAGUAAUUAACUAAAUUUAUUUUAGUUUACUUUCUCCUGAUUUAGAUUAUUUUAUUAUAUUUGGUUACAAAGAUUGCUUUGUCAUAAAUUUAAAUUGAUUAUUUUACCCUUAUAAGGUAAAACUAUUAAGAAUUUACUUUAACUUUAAUAUUUUUCUAAUUUUGUACCAAACUUAUUGUUUCUAAUACUAUUUUAUUAGUAUGAGUUUUAAUUAUUGGGAUGUCAAUUUUAUGUAAUUUACACAUAAAAGUAAAGAAAAAACAAUUAAAUUUUAUUUAAAAAUAUUAGAUUAUAAGCUAGAUACAUAAAUUAUUAGAUACAAUAACUCAUGUUUAUUAUGGUAAUUUAGUCGCUAUAUAUCAUAACAAUAAAUUUCUAAAAUAAAACUUGUAUUAAAGUUUAUGAUUAAAGAUGGUCAAAAAACCCAAGAAAAAAAUUAAUAGAAGGAUUUAACUGAUUAACUAUACAAAAUUUUUAUUAAUUUGUAUUUUUUUAAAAAAUAUUGUGAAUUCAUUGCAAUUAGUUUCUAGAAGUAGGGUGGAUUUACAAAAUAGUGGGGUGCAAAUACCCUUACCCAAAUACUCCAUAAAAAGUAAAACUAUUACCUUUUUUGAUGUACUUCUCUUGAAUUUUUUAUUUCUAAGGAUAAAGUUUAAUUCAUUCCCAAAUAAAAUGAUAAUCUCUAAUUUGCUCUCAAUGUAAACCUCAAUUUAUUCUUCAUUUCCGUCCAAAAGAUGAGGGGCAAAUAAGGAAUGUGUUGAUGUUUUUCUUUUUGUUUUAAUCUUCUUAACAAUAAAUGGGGUAAAUUGAUAUUUUUAUAUUUUUAGGUGAUAAAUUAAAGAUUUUCAUUUUAAAUUGGGGCCAAAUUAAAAUCUAUCCUAUUUCUAAAGGCACCAUGUGAUUUGGCGAAAUAACUAUAAAGAUAUUUUGUUUUUAGAAAAUGUCACACAUGUCUCUUUUGAGAUACACAAACUCUUUUUUAGCUAAAAGAUUGGGAUUUGUGUGAUUAUUUCUGAACCAAAAGGUUUGUGUUUUAAAAAAAAUGAUUAUGUGACUGUUUUGCCUAACCGAGAGGGUCAUUAUUCAAACACCAAUCACAUUUUUGUUUUAAAACACCCUUUCAUUUAUUCUUUAAGCUUCUUUUUUUUUUUUCCCAAAAAAUGAUGAAUAGAUAUUGAAAAUUUUGUUUUCAUUUUUUAUUGAAAAAAAUGAAAAACACCAAAUAUUACUGCUUCCUUGUCCAUACUUUUUCGUCCUAUAUUACCUUAAUUUUAUAUCAUUUUCUCUAUUUCUAUUUUUAUAGUCCAAUUCUGAAAAUACACUAUUAGACACAUUUUUAAAUUGAAAAAAACCAAACAUAGUGCAUCAUUUUCAUUAUAAGCAUUAACACCUGACGUACACAUUCUCCAAAUGGGAUUAAUGGAAAAAAAAAAUGGUGACUCCUUCAGAAAUGAAGUUGUACAAUUAGUUUGAAUUGAGUCGAUACAGAGACGUCUCCAUUGCGUCAUCUGUUUAACUGUCUUGUGCAACCUUAUUCUGUACUAGGUGGAUUCCACAUUGGCCAAGUAUAUGCAUAGUUCCUGGUUUAUUCAAGGUCUUAAAGAGAAGUCCAAUCUUACAGGUUCGUUAACAUUUUAAAGGUAAGUUUUAUCUUGUAACAUUCACACAAAAUUUAUAAUCAACUGGGGCGGAAAUUUUGAAAAUACUAUGAUUAGCACAACCAUUUCAACAAUAAAUGAUGUAAUAAAAGCUCAUUAAGUUUAAACUUGAAAGGAAAAUUAGGGCAAGGUCAUUUCUUUAAAAAGAAUAAGGCAAGAUGAUGCACGGCAUGAAAUACCUGUGACCAAGCCUCAAAAGAUUCAUCAAGCCCAGUAUUUUGCUUGCCCUCGGCAUAAUUACACUUGGCUUCCCAAACAAAUAAUUGCUGGAGCUCGGAUAGAGGGCAGGAAGAAUUAACUACAAAACCACCAGAUUUAUCGUGUUUUUGUCCUGUUAAUUAAUUGUUUUCAAUUAACACGGUAACCCGGCUCGGGUGUUAACUCUGUUUCUGUCAGUGCUCUGUUGAAUAUUUCUGUUUAAAAAUCAGCACUCGCAUGUAAGUAGUAUGGCAGCAUCAAAAUCUCACGUGUAAUAAUUAGGCUAUUAGUUCUGGGUCCAGGAAUCGAGAGAAUCAGAUUUGGUGCAAAAGCUAUAUGUACCAAUUUAUGUAGCCAUGCAUAAUAUAUUCAUUUUUUACUUGCAAAUUCUUCAUUUUCACAACUUUAGGUACAACUUUUCCUUUCCUUUUGAAGGCCCACUCCACUGGCAUAGAGAGUAAAAAGAGUUUCUUAUAAAUAAUUUUAGGAGGAUGCUUCUGCCACGACAAGUAAUACCAUAAACAAAUGAUUUCACCACAUUUCAAGAAAGCAUUUAACUUAUGCCUCAUUUUCAUUGUAGAAAUUUGCUUGCCAUUGGCUGAUUGGAAAAAGUGCAUUUAAGUGAUAGAUCCCUACCUAUAGCACGAAUAGGGGUUAAACAAAGUAAAUCCGUACCUUUACAUAUCAAAUAAAAGACUUUCAUAAUAUCAAAUAUCAAAACUCAUGUCUAGUAAAGGAUUCCCCAAUGCUGGCUCUCAAAAUUGCUUUUGUUUCAUGGAUGAGAUGAUCGUUUUUGUGGAUAUUCUGCUCAACUUGGAUUAUGACUUGGGUCAGAUCCCAACUUGCUGCAAAGCUCACCUGACUAAAUCUUAGUUGAUUUGCUUUUCCAAACUAAAUCCAAGCAAGUAAGUACAAGAGAUAAAAGCAAAAGUUCAAGCAUCUCAUUUGAGCCUGUCACUAACAAAUGGUCAACGAGUAAUGUCUAGCUAUGACUGAGCAACAGAAUCAAUAAACAGACAGACAAAAAAUAAUAAUCAAGUCAUCUGUCAAAUGCUAGUCCAUGAAAAUCAUAUAUAUAUAUAUAUAUAGGAGGCUGUUCCAAUCCGGGAGUCCCGGAUUGGAACAGCACUCUAUUAAUUUUUUUGGUUUGGCUGCACAUGGUGGAGGUGGCCUUUGGAUUUGAAUCCAAAGGCCACCAGCCUCCCUCCCGGACAUUGUUCCAAUCCGGGAUUCUGGAUUGGAACAGCACUCUAUAUAUAUGUAUGUAUGUAUAUGUAUAUGUAUGAUCCUUCAUUUCUCAAUCAACCACCAAAUUGAUGUCAACAAAGCCAUGAGGAUUGUCUCACAAGUCUUUCAAUUUCCCUCUCUUUAGGCCAGAGACCAGUAAACCAUUUGAAAUAUGGAUGUGCAGGUAUGGUGUAUACAUUAUACUAAAGUGAAGGCUGGAUCAAUAAGAAAUUCAAAAUGUUUCAUCACAUUUGGGGCUUGAUGAUGCCAAACAAAGACCAUACCAAUUAUGAUGAACAGUAAAAUGUGAACAAGAAC
rnacentral:lncRNA from 1 species